UGGGUUAUCUUUUCAAGCAUAAUUUCUGUAGUUUGUAACUUGGAAGUGUGAUUUGGAUGUGUAUGUCUCCCUAUUCACGAUGAUGAACCAACAUGGUUCCUUUUGAGAAUGAAUUGGAUGGAGUGUAAUGGUUUUGUUUCACAUACUUCAUUCUUGAUGAAUGUUCUUACUGUGUUCCACAGUGCAGAGGAAGGAAGUAUGUUCUGAGUGGG